CCGUGCAGCCGAGUCCUCCACACGUGCACUCGGUGGACAUGAAACGUCCCUUGGCGGGAAAAGAGACGCUUUAAAAGAGGACAAAAAGCAGCAUGGAGACAGACGGUCCUGGCGAAGGGGAAGACCGGAAAGGGACAAACGUCAGCUGGAACCAACACGGGCCGCUGCUGUGACGUCACUGAUCACGGGGGAAGGCAGUAGGGGGCGUGGAUCGUUUGCAUACGCCAUCUACGCCCCCUCGGCCCACUGCUGCGUUCAGGCUGUGUGAAAGACGGGACGAAAUACAACUGUAAUGUCUACACCCUAAAGCUUGCGAUGGGCUCUUCUUCUCCAGUCCUCUGAGUUCAGCUGUCAAUGAAUGGAUGGUCGUUAAAAAUUGAUAUGACCAUGGACUACACACACACACACACACACACAC